UACAGAGGGGGCAAGCGUUGUUCGGAAUUACUGGGCGUAAAGGGCGCGUAGGCGGCCUCUUAAGUCGAACGUGAAAUCCCCGGGCUCAACCCGGGAACUGCGUCCGAUACUGGGAGGCUUGAAUCCGGGAGAGGGAUGUGGAAUUCCAGGUGUAGCGGUGAAAUGCGUAGAUAUCUGGAGGAAUACCGAUGGCGAAGGCAGCCCCCUGGGUCAAUACUGACGCUCAUGCACGAAAGCGUGGGUAGCAAACAGG
rnacentral:rRNA from 1 species